CCCUUAGAUGUCCUGGGCCGCACGCGUGCUACACUGACGCAUACAGCGAGCACUUUCCAGUUCCGAGAGGCUACUGGUAAUCAUCAAUAUGCGUCGUGAUCGGGAUAGAUUCUUGUAAUUUUUGAUCUUAAACGAGGAAUUCCUAGUAAACGCAAGUCAUCAGCUUGCAUUGAUUACGUCCCUGCCCUUUGUACACACCGCCCGUCGCACCUACCGAUUGAAUGGUCCGGUGAAAUCUCCGGACUGGCGUGAGUCGGAGCAAUCUGACAAACACCGGAAAGUUGAUUAAACCUUACCAUUUAGAGGAAGGUGAAGUCGUAACA
rnacentral:rRNA from 1 species